rnacentral:lncRNA from 1 species
AGAAAAUGAUCAUCUCGCUUUGAUAGAUUGCGAGAAUUUUUGUAAAACGUUUGAACACCUUCGGGUACUGAACUGGGGUUCUGCGGUUCUCGACCAAUUUCCACCCGGAUUAGAAAAUUUAUUCCUUUUGAAGUAUUUGCAAUUGAAUAUCCCUUCGCUCAAAUGCCUUCCUUCGCUGCUAUGCACCCUUUUAAACCUUCAAACACUAGAAAUGCCAUCUAGCUACAUAGAUCAUUCACCAGAGGGUAUUUGGAUGAUGCAAAAACUCAUGCAUCUGAACUUCGGUUGCAUCACUCUGCCUGCACCUCCCAAAAAUUAUUCCAGUUCUCUGAAAAAUCUCAUUUUCAUAUCAGCCUUACACCCUAGUAGUUGUACUCCAGAUAUAUUGGGCAGACUACCUAAUGUGCAAAGUCUUAGAAUAUCUGGGGAUUUGAGUCACUAUCAUUCCGGGGUUUCCAAAAGCCUGUGCGAACUACACAAACUUGAAUGCCUGAAAUUGGUGAAUGAAAGCAAGCUCUCACGGAUGGUCCUGUCUGAAUACCAAUUUCCUCCAAGUCUGGUCCAACUGAGCUUAUCAAAUACUGAGCUAAUGGAGGAUCCCAUGCCAAUACUGGAGAGGCUUCCGCGUCUUCAAGUGCUGAAACUGAAGCGAAACUCGUAUUUAGGAAGAAAGUUGGCCUGCGUUGGCUCUGGUGGCUUUCCAGAACUUAAGGUUUUGCACCUGAAAUCAAUGUAUUGGCUAGAUGAGUGGACGAUGGCGGCAGGAGCAAUGCCAAAACUUGAAAGCUUAAUUGUCAACCCAUGUGCUUACUUGAGAAAGCUCCCAGAAGAGCUGUGGUGCAUAAAGAGCUUGCGCAAAUUGGAUUUACAUUGGCCUCAGACAGAGUUGAGACAGAGGCUACGGACUUUCGAGGAUAUGGAGUGGCGGUAUGACAUCCAGUUAUAUCCUUACGGAAUCUGAUGGAUGGAAUUGGGUGAGUUUUAAUCAUAUCUGAACUGGGGUUCUGCAGUUCUCGAUCAAUAUCCACCCGGAUUAGAAAAUUUAUUCUAUUUGAAGUACUUGAAAUUGAAUAUCCCUUCGCUCAAAUGUCUUCCUUUUAAACCUUCAAACACUAGAAAUGCCAUCUAGCUACAUAGAUCAUUCACCAGAGGAUAUUUGGAUGAUGCAAAAACUCAUCCAUCUGAACUUUGGUUCCAUCACUCUGCCUGCACCUCCAAAAAAUUAUUACCGCUCUCUGAAAAAUCUCAUUUUCAUAUCGGCCUUACACCCUCGUAGUUGUACUCCAUAUAUAUUAGGUAGACUUCCUAAUGUGCAAACUCUUAGAAUAUCUGGGGAUUUGAGUCACUAUCAUUCCGGGGUUUCCAAAAGCCUGUGAGAACUACACAAACUUGAAUGCCUGAAAUUGGUGAAUGAAGACAAGACGUGGCAGCUCUCAAGGAUGGUCCUGUCUGAGUACCAAUUUCCUCCAAGUCUGACCCAACUCAGUUUAUCAAAUACUCAGCUAAUGGAGGAUCCUAUGCCGAGAUUAGAGGAGCUUCCACACCUUCAGGCGCUGAAACUGAAGUAAAACUCAUAUUUAGAAAGAAAGCUGGCUUGCGUUGGCUUGCGUUGCACCUAAAAUCAAUGCUAUGGCUGGAGGAGUGGACGAUGGGAGCAGGAGCAAUGCCAAAACUUGAAAGCUUAAUUAUGAACCCUUGUGCAUACUUGAGAAAGCUUCCUGAGGAGCUACGGUGCAGAAAGAGCUUACGUAAAUUGGAGUUACAUUGGCCUCAGCCUGAGUUGAGGCAAAGGCUACGAGCUUUUGAGAAUAUGGAGUGGCGGUAUGACAUCCAGUUUUAUCCUUCUGGAAUCUAACGGAUUGAAAGAGGUGAGUUUUACUCAGUAGAUUUAUAAAUGUAUAAUUUAUCGUAAAACCUUCAAAGAUUCAAAUUUGAAUUUUUUAUCGUAAUUUCCCGACUUUUGUAGGAAAAAUCCAAGUGGAAAGCAUCAUAUAUAAUUGCCGUCUGGCUUUCAAUUUCAACUGCAAUUCAGCAUUGAUCCGUUUAAUUAUCUUCAUUUCAGCUGCCUUUUGGGGGCACUAUUUUGAAGCAGAUUUACCGCUAGUAAUUCCAUGGUUAGUCUAUUGUCUAUAAACUUGAAUAAGGUAUGUUUUUGCUUUUGUUGAUGUGGAUUUUGUGUUUUAGGAACUGUUGUUCAUGAAUAAAGGGUUUGGCUGUCCUUGGACUGUAUGGAAAAAGACAUCUAGUCAAAUUUUCAUCAAGUCACUGAGGGAAUUGCACCAAUGUAAAUAAUCCUCAGUGCCGUCAUGCUUUAUUUGAAUUUGAAUUUGUAUGACAAAAGGAUAUGUAUGAACUGUAAUUUGCAAAUUUGCCGUCUUACUUCUAAUCCCUCCCCAGAAGACUACAAAUUAUAAGGUAAAGUCUGGACCGGCAUUCGUGGGCUAAAUUGCAGACCAGCAGAUGCUUGAUCUUGAACCGUUUGAUCGGUCCAAGGAAAUGUACAUCACUUGAGUUUCAUCGAUAACUGGAGUAAUGUAGAUAAGCUCACUAACGCUCAAAAUAAAUGGUUCAAAGAAAACAGAGACAAUGAUUAGAAAUGAACAUAACUUGCUACCUCAGACUCGAUUAAAACUUAAAAGAAAAGUGGGGGCCUGCUGACACCAAAAGGAUUAAAGGAAUCUCUUUUGGAAAGCAUCGAAGAGCAAUAAAGUGGGGAAAUGAAGACAAAGCAAUCAAAAGUCAAAGAUAAGCUACUAGUAAUCUCACUAGAAGGUACUAAAACAUAUUUAUCUAAAUUUAAAUUAAUUUCCACUGCCAAUUUGUACUUUCAAUCCCCAAAAACGGUCCAAAAAUGCUAGAUAUGGCCUAAAUACUAAGGAUAUGGAGUGGCGGUUUGACAUCCACAUAUUGCCUUAUGGAACCCAAUUGAUUAAUUGGGGAGAGUUAAUACUAUCUUAUCUGAUAACGCAACCUUUAGUUACUUGCCUGAUUUGGUAUGCCUUUUGCCGUUUCCUGAUUUUCUAACUGUCGUAUGAUUCGUUCCAAUUAAGUUUUCUUCAUUCGGGUGUGGUUUGCUCUGCUGUCUCAAAUUCAUCAAUGUGAAUAUGACACUCUUCAUUAAUAUUCCAAUUAAGCACUUCAGCUCGGAUGUGUAUUAUCUUUACUUAUUUUUCAGCUUUAUGCCUUUAGCUAUGGGAUAACUUUAGCCAUAUGCCAGUUACAAUCUCAAGAUUUGUGCAGAAGACUGCUUUUAUAAUUGUAAAUUUGUAAUGUUACUUGUAGUCCCUCAACGGCAAGACUCUAAAUAAGUAAGGUAAAGUUCAUUGAACAUGCAGCUUUUCUGCAAAUCAGGUCUUUGCACAAAUUAAAAUCCAGUUGUGGUCAAUGGAAAAUUGAUUGUUGACUUCCAUUUUUCCAAACAAGCCAACAGUACCCUAACACAAUCAACCCAAGCUUUUAAAGAGGAUACAAAUUUGCAGAAGCCACCAGAGUUGCAUCAACUAUUGGAGUUAGUGCAGAUAAGACUACUGAUGCACAAAAAUGGAAAUUAAAAAUCAACUUGAGCAAAACCAUAAAAAUGCCGGGGUAGUUAAGGUUGCUUCCAACGCAAGCCUCAACUCGAGUAGCGAAACAGAGGGGGUAAGCCACACAAUGUAGCAGAGAAACAAAGAAAUAUCAUUCUGUAUUCUAUCUAAUAACUAUUUUACAUUCAUAACCGCAGCCAGGCUUCCCAAGUCAACUGUAAUUCAGCAUCGAUCCUUUACAUACAUUUCAUUUCAGCCGUCAUUUCGGGAAGUUGUUUUGAAUUGGAUUUGCGAGUUUGAUGAAGUGAGACUGCGAGUAUUGUUGCAGAUUUCAAUGUAUUUCAAUGUGAUGCGCACGUGACUCACUCAUUCUCAUUUGACCACAUCAAACUUCAGUCAAAGUUGUUACUAAUCGCGGGAAAGUUUGUUUAUGGAGUUUCUGUUUUUUACUUUAAACAUAGAUGUAAUCAUCACGAGAUUAACAAAUAAUCAUAAUUAAAGCAAUCACCUUCCAAUUUUUGGAACUGUCGACAGAAAUCUUUGUACAGGAGUCCUAUUUUCAAAAGGCAUCAAGGACUAACUUUAUCUCAGUUAAUCAUACUUAAGAUGUCCUAUUUUCAAAAGGCAUCAAGGACUAACUUUUUUUCAUUCCCAUACUUUAUCUCAGUUAAUUUAUUUAAGAAUCUUCGCAUUACAAUCUGGUCACCAUGAUUUAUUUUCAUUUUAUUUUGAGACAAAAGAAUUGUUUUUAAAUUCUCAUCAGCAAAUGUACAUUGCUUUCGUUUUUGGAUUGGCAAAAACAGGGUAAAAUAAUAAUUAAACAAGAUUUCAGGACAUCAGCAUCUUAUUCUUUUCUUGAACCAAGUCUUUGUUUUGUUUAGCUUUUGUUAAGAUGCUUUAUUAACCUUCCUCCUUUUCCCUAUUGCUAGUUUGGUACCUCUUUCAUUUCUUGAACCGAGAUAUUUGCCUUUCGUUGGAAGUAAAGCUUAAAUGCUCUUUCGCCUUUCCUCCCUUUUUCUCUUAACUUGUGUUUUCUUAUGCGAUCGUUUUCAAUUGUACCAAACACCACUCAUUUAUCAAUAUCCAGUUUGAAUAAAAUUCUACAUUUUGAUUUUUCUGCUUCUUCCACAUAAUUGUUUGAUUGUGGUGCUUUCAGUCAGAGUUCGAUAUCAUCAGGACAUUAAAUCUUUGAUUACUCGAGCAAUUAAUAACAGGUAUUUUAUUACCUGAAUUAUUUAUAAACUAACUUCAUUUUAUUUAUUUUUAUCUCAUGAAUGUUAGAUCAACUUUAGGUUUGUGAAUAAUUAUUUUUCACAAGUUAUAUUUUUUUUUUUCAUUUUCGUAAGUAUCAAAAUCAUCACUAUCAUGUACACAUUGCUUGCACUUUUAUUGUGUAAAAAUCAUCUCCCACAAAUAAUAUUAAAUGAAAUUUACUUGCAAAUUAAAAAAUAUGUGUAUAUAAUAUUUUUGUAAAACCAUUAUUCUCCCUUGGAGCUUACUAUUAUUUAGUGCACAAAAUUAAUAGAUAAAUAGAUAUAUAACUUGAUGGAGUUGUUUGGGAAUAAGAAUUACUAUUUAUUUAGUUUUGUGUUUCUGCAUCACUAUUAUCUUCUCUGAUAUAUUUGCUUUUAGCAACUCAAGUACAUAUGAUUUAGGGUGCAUUUGGUAUCUUCUUUGUUAUAUUUGCUUUUUAUCCUCAAAUGUUUUUUAGUAUUUGUUUCAUAAUAAAGAUAUGAUUGGUUUCCAGAUAAUAUGAAAUUUGUAAAAUGUGUUGGGUAAUUCUUUUGGAAAAAUUAUAAAAUAAAUUAUAUGUGGGACCCAUCUUAUUUCCAUUCCUUCUUUGCACAACGCAUGAUGGUGAUUGAUUAAAGUAUACAAGCGGCAAGGAAUUAAUGGAAAAUAGCAGUGCUUUUUAUGCACCAAAGAUUUUUUUCAAUGUUAUUUUAACCAAAUCCAAGAACGUGUCAGAAAAGCACUUAGUGAAAUAUGUUCAUCAUUCUAAUAUUUUCGCCAAAUAGAAAAAUACCAAACAGCUCCUUAGUUAGAGAUAGUUAUUUGACAACACAAGUACUCUGUUUUGCAUAUAUUUAUAUAUUUUUAAUAGCUUUGUUUUGCAAAUUCCUACUAAACAGUUUAAGUGAGAGAAGGAGACAUGCUGGACGUCCACCUCCGACUAUUUUGUGAGAGGUUGAAAAGGGUGUUAGCAGGUGAAGAAGGCACGUUAACGUUGCCUGAUUCAACAAAUUUAACUCCACUUUUUCAAAACCUUUUUACGGAGACUGAAAUUAUUACUACUUUGCUCGGGAACUAUGAAGGCGACAUGGCUCGUCAUUUGAUUCAAGUCAUUGCAGACGAAUUCGAUGAAAAAGACGAAAUGCAUUUGCCUUUUCGGCAAUUCUUGGGCAUAGAAGAAAGCGAUGAAGACGUUAAAAGACCAGACAUUUUGGAAAUUCUGGAGGACAUCAAUCACUUUGUCCGUGAAUUUGAGGAAGCCAUUGACACAUUUUUCAUCAAUAUCAUGCAGCAGCAAAACAGUGAAAGUGAAAGCACUACUUGCAAGGCUCUUCUUAUUGGACUCCACGGUAAAAUCAUUGAUAUUAGAAAUCGGAUGCAACAACUUUCACCCAGGGACAAUGAUUUUGAUAUCAGUGAACAAAGUGACAAACUCAUUCGCUUAUUGAUUGAGAGGCAACCUCAGCUUGAUAUCAAAGAAUUUGAAAGGAGCAGAGAGGAGUUGUUUGAUUUAUUGAUUGAAGGACAUCCUCGGCUUGCAAUGGUUGUAAUUCUCGAUAGCAGUGGCUUCGAUAAGACUGCUUUUGCUGCUGAUACUUAUAACAGUAAUCAUGUCAAGUUCUAUUUUGACUGUCUUGUUUGGGUCAGGGUUUGUUUAUUGUAUGAUUUUGGCAAGAUAUUGGAUGACAUAAUCAAAUCUGUGAUGCCUCCAUCUCGGGUUAGUGUAAUUAUCGGUGAAGAUUAUCAAUUGAAGAAAUCUAUUCUUCGUGAUUACCUAACAAACAAGAAGUACUUUAUUGUGCUUGAUGAUGUCUUCGAUGACAGUGAGAUAUGGGAUGAUCUUGAAGAAGUUCUCCCUGAUAAUCAGAAUGGAAGCAGAGUAUUGAUAACAGUCUCUGAUCCAGACCUCCUUACCUCGUUCGAAUUGCAAAAUGGACAGAAGAUUCGGAGUGAUUCAGUUCUCUUUGGAGGACCAUUGAUUAAAAUAAAGCAUGAAGGCUGGCAAUUUUUCAUCCUAAACUAUGGAAAUACGCCAUUAAAAAGUUAUAUUGGAGAAAAAGCGUAUCCGACAAUUUGGAGUAAAAUUUUUUCUCUGUUGGAGUUGCCUUUUCACUUGAAAGUUUGCUGCAUCUAUUUGCUUGUAAUCCGUCCAAGUAUUGAGAUAUCUACGAGGCAAUUAUAUCUGUUGUGGGUAGCUGAAGGUUUCAUACCAUACAACAGUGAGGAAACAGCCGAUCAUUACUUGAAAGAACUAAUUGAUCGAGGAUUCAUUCAAGUGAGUAAGAAAAGAGCCGGAGGGACAGUUAAAACGUGUUAUGUUUCAAGUUAUACAUUUGUUUCAUUGGCUUUUGUGGCAGCCAAGACAGAAUUUUUCAGGACAACUGAUGCAGAAGAAAAAUCGCCGGCUAACCGGGUCAUCAUUUUUGAAGGUUUAAUUGAGUUCUUUUCUUUAGAACAUUCUGACAUGUAUCUCCAAUCUUUGCUGAAUCACAGUUUAGAAAGCGAUCAGCUUGAUCUAAAAGAUUGCGAGAAUUUUUGUAAAAAGUUCAAACACCUUCGGGUAUUGAACUUGGGUUCUGCAGUUCUCGACCAAUAUCCACCCGGGUUAGAAAUUUUUUUCUAUUUGAAGUAUUUGAAACUGAAUAUCCCUUCGCUCAAAUGUCUUCCUUCACUGUUAUGCACCCUUUUAAACCUUCAAACACUAGAAAUGCCAUCAAGUUACAUAGAUCAUUCACCAGAGGAUAUUUGGAUGAUGCAAAAACUCAUGCAUUUGAACUUUGGUUCCAUCACUCUACCUGCACCUCCAAGAAAUAAUUCCAACUCUUUGAAAAAUCUCGUUUUCAUAUCAGCCUUACACCCUAGUAGUUGUACUCCAGAUAUAUUGGGCAGACUCCCUAAUGUUCAAACUCUUAGAAUAUCUGGAGAUUUGAGUUACUAUCAUUCUGGGGUUUCCAAAAGCCUAGGCGAACUACACAAACUUGAAUGCUUGAAGCUGGUGAAUGAAGGCAAGAUGUGGCAGCUCUCAAGGAUGGUCCUGUCUGAAUACCAAUUUCCUCCAUGUCUGACCCAACUAAGCUUAUCAAAUACUCAGCUAAUGGAGGAUCCUAUGCCGGCAUUAGAAAAGCUUCCACACCUUGAGGUGCUGAAACUGAAGCAGAACUCGUAUUCAGAAAGAAAACUGGCUUGUGUUGGCUCGGGUAGUUUUCCACAGCUCAAGAUUUUGCACCUGAAAUCAAUGCUAUGGCUGGAGGAGUGGACGAUGGGGGCAGGAGCAAUGCCAAAACUUGAAAGCUUAAUUUUGAACCCUUGUGCGUACUUGAGAAAGCUUCCUGAGGAGCUAUGGUGCAUAAAGGGUUUAUGCAAAUUGGAGUUACAUUGGCCUCAACCAGAGUUGAGACAACGGCUACGGGCUUUUGAGGAUAUGGAGUGGCGGUAUGACAUCCAGUUAUAUCCUUCUGGAAUCUAACGGAUUGAAAGGGGUGAGAGUUUUACUUGAUAAUUACUGAUAUGGUAUGACUUUGUUUCACUUACUCAGUAGAUUUAUAAAUGUGCUAUCUGUAAGAAACCUUCAAGGGUUCAAAUUUUAAUUUAUGAUUCUGUUUCCUUUGAUUUGUGUAGGAAAAGUCAAAUGGUGGAAGCAUCAUAUAUAGCUGCAAUCUGGCUUUCAAUUUCAACUGUAAUUUCAGCAUUGAUCCGUUCAAUUCUCUUCAUUUCAGCUGCCUUUUGGGGACAUUAUUUUGAAGCGGAUUUGCCGCCAGUGAUGCCAUGGUGAGUCUAUUGUCCAUAAACUAUAAGGUACGUUUUUGCUGUUGAUGGUAUGUAUUAAGAACUGCUGUGUGCUGAGAACUCUAAGAAAAAGACAUCUAGUCGAAGAUUCAUGAGUGUUCUUCAUGGAUGUAUAGUUUUGGCUGUCUUUGGACCGUACGGAAAUAGACAUCUAGUCAAAUUUUCGUCAAGUGACUGAGGGAAUUGCAACAAUGUAAAUAAUGCCUCUGUGAACUCAUACCUUAUUUGAACUUUAAUUGUAUUGCAAAAGGAUAUGUAUGAAUUAAAAUUUGCAAAUUAGUAGUGUUACUUGUAAUCCAUCACCAGCAAGACUAUAAAUUGUAAGGUAAAGUUCGGAUCAGCAUUCAUUGGCUAAACUGCAGACCAGAAAUACUUGAUCUUGAAUAUCACUUGAGUUGCAUCAAUAAUUAGAGUAAUGUACAUAAGAUCCAUAUUGCUCAAAAUAUAUUGUUCAAAGGAAAAAUAGACAAUGCCUAGAAAUGAAUAUAACUUGCUAUUUCAGACUCUGUGAAAAGAAAAGUAGGGGCAUGCAGACACCAAAUGGAUUAAAGGAAUCUCUUUUGAUAAACAUUGAAAAUGAAUAAAGAGGGAGACUGAAAAUAAAGCAAUCAAAAAUCAAAGAUAAGCUUUUAUAGUAAUUAAUGUUAACUAUGUGAUAAAUAUAAUUAAUUAUAAAGAAAAUUAAUUAAGAGUAUGAUAAAUUUUAUUUAUAAAAUAUUAAAAUACUCUUUUUUUAACCGGAUUUUAGGUCUGAUUGUUAUUGACUCACAAAUACUCUUUUUUUUUUUUUAUAACAGUUCUGUAUUUUAACCGAUGUACCAGGUGUACUAUCAUAUACCAAAAUGAUCACCUUCCAAGAAUUUGAAAAUAUUGGAAGAAAUCUUUGUGCAAUUAUAUUAUCAUGAAGCUUCACGUUAAUUUAUUUAUUCUUUGCUAAGGAGCCUUUGCUUUAAUUACUUCCUUUUUCUGCUUCUUCCACAUAAUUGUUUGAUUGUGGUGCUUUCAGUCAGAAUUAGAUAUCAUUGGGACAUUAAAUCUUUGAUAUACUCAAACAAUCAAUAACAGGUAUUUUAUUAUCUGAAUUAUUCAUAUAAUAAUUUCAUUUUUAUUUAUUUUUUCUCAAGAAUGUUAGAUGCUUUAUUAACCUUCAGUCAAAGUUGUUGCUAAGCGCGGCAAAGUUUGUUUAUGGAGUUUCUGCUUCGUACUUUAAACAUAGAUAUAAUCAUCUCCAGAUUAACAAAUAAUCAUAAUUAAAGCAAUCACCUUCCAAUUUUUGGAAAUGUCGACAGAAAUCUUUGUACAGGAGUGCGGUAAUGACAUACAGUUAUAUUAUAAUGGAACUUUACCUUUAAGAAAUUUAAGAUGUUCUAUUUUCAAAAGGCAUCAAGGACUUAACUUUUUUUCAUUCCCAUACUUUAUCUUAGUUAAUUUAUUUAAGAAUCUUCGCAUUACAAUCUGGUCAUCAUGAUUUAUUUCCAUUUUAUUUUGAGACAAAAGAAUUGUUUUUGAAUUCUCAUUAGCAAAUGUACAUUGCUUUCGUUUUUGGAUUGGCAAAAACAGGGAAAAUAAUAAUUAAACAAGAUUUCAGGACAUCAGCAUCUUAUUCUUUUCUUGAACCAAGUCUUUGUUUUGUUUAGCUUUUGUUAAGAUGCUUUAUUAACCUUCCUCUUUCGCCUUUCCUCCCUUUUUCUCUUAACUUGUGUUUGCUUAUGCGAUCGUUUUCAAUUGUACCAAACACCACUCAUUUAUCAAUAUCCAGUUUGAAUAAAAUUCUACAUUUUGAUUUUUCUGCUUCUUCCACAUAAUUGUUUGAUUGUGGUGCUUUCAGUCAGAGUUAGAUAUCAUCAGGACAUUAAAUCUUUGAUUACUCGAGCAAUUAAUAACAGGUAUUUUAUUACCUGAAUUAUUCAUAAACUAACUUCAUUUUAUUUAUUUUUAUCUCAUGAAUGUUAGAUCAACUUCAGGUUUGUGAAUAAUUAUUUUUCACAAGUUAUAUUUUUUAUCAUUUUCGUAAGUAUCAAAAUCAUCACUAUCAUGUACACAUUGCUUGCACUUUUAUUGUGUAAAAAUCAUCUCCCACAAAUAAUAUUAAAUGAAAUUUACUUGCAAAUUAGAAAAUGUGUAUAUAAUAUUCUUGUAAAACCAUUAUUCUCCCUUGGUGCUUACUAUUAUUAGUACACAAAAUAAAUAAAUAGAUAAAUAACUUGAUGGAGUUGUUUGCGAAUAGGAAUCACUAUUUAUUUAGUUUCGAGUUUCUGCAUUACUAUUAUCUUUUCUGUUAUAUUUGCUUUUAGCAACUCAAGUGCAUAUGAUUUAGGAUGCAUUUGGUAUCUUCUUUGUUAUAUUUACUUUUAUCCUCAAAUGUUGUUUUUGUAUUUGUUUUAUAAUAAAGAUACGAUUAGUUUCUAGAUAAUAUUAAAGCACGUUGGUAGCCUUUGUUAAAAUAGCAUUUGGAAAUGAAGUUUGUAAAAAUGUGUUUGGCAAUUCUUUUGGAAAAAUUAUAAAAUAAAUUAUUGUGGGACUCAUCUUAUUUCCAUUCACUCCUUUGCACAACGCAUUAUCCUGAUUGAUUAAAGUAUUAUUUUAAAGUGUUAUUUCAAUGUUAUUUUCACCAAAUCCAAGAACAUGUCAGAAAAGCACUUUGUGAAAUAUGUUCUUCAUUCUAAUAUUUCCGCGAAAUAGAAAAUGACUUACCAAAAACAAUACCAAACAACUCCUUGGCUAUAGAUAAUUAUUUGACAACAUAAGUACUGAGUUUUGCAUAUAAUUUAUAUAUUUUUAAUAGCUCUGUUUUGCAAAUUCCUGCUAAACAGUACAAGUGAGAGAAGGAGACAUGCUGGACGUCCACCUUCGACUAUUUUGUGAGAGUUUGAAAAGGGUGUUAGCUGGUGAAGAAGGCACGUUGCCGUUGCCUGAUUCAACAAAUUUAACCCCACUUCUUCAAAACCUUCUUACGGAGUCCGAAAUUAUUGCUACUACUCUGCUCGGGAACUAUGAAGCUGACAUGGCUCGGCUUUUGUUUCAACUCAUUAGAGAAGAUUUCGAUGAAUCCAAAAUAUCUUUGCCUUUUUUGCAACUGUUGGACUUAGAAGAAAGCGAUGAAGACGUUGAAACACCAGAUAUUUUGGAAAUUCUGGAGGACAUCAAUCACUUUGUCCAUGGAUCUGAGGAAGCCAUUGACACAUUCUUCAUCAACAUCAUGCAGCAGCAAAACAGUGAAAACGAAAGUGAAAGCAGUACUAAUAUGGCUCUUCUUGUUGGACUCCAGAGUAAAAUCAUUGAUAUUAGAAAUCGGAUGCAACAACUUCCACCCAGCGACAAUGGUUUUGAUAUCAGCGAAAAAAGUAACAAAAUCAUUCGCCUAUUGAUUGAGGGACAAUCGCAGCUUGAUAUCAAUGAAUUUGAAAGGGGCAGAGAGGAGUUGUUUGACUUGUUGAUUGAGGGACCAUCUGGGCUUUCAGUAGUUGCAAUUCUCGACAGCAGUGGCUUCAAUAAGACUGCUUUUGCUGCAGAUACCUACAACAACAAUCAUGUAAAAUUUUAUUUUGACUGUCAUGCUUGGAUCAGGGUUUCUAUACUCUACGAUUUUGGCAAGAUAUUGGAUGACAUAAUCAAGUCUGUGAUGCCUCCAUCUCGGGUUAGUGUAAUUAUCGGUGAAGAUUACCAAUUGAAGAAAUCUAUUCUUCGAGAUUACCUAACAGACAAGAAGUACUUUAUUGUGCUAGAUGAUGUCUUCGAUGACAGUGAGAUAUGGAGUGAUCUUGAAGAACUUCUUCCCGAUGAUCAGAAUGGAAGCAGAGUAUUGAUAUUGGUCACUGAUCCAGACCUCCUUACGUCGUUGGAAAUGGAAAACGGAGAGAAGAUUCGGCUUGAUUCAGUGCUCGUUGGAGGACCACUGAUUAGAAUAAAGUAUGAAGCCUUGCAAUUUUUCAUCCUACACUAUGGAAGUAUGCCAUUAGAAAAUUAUCUUCAAGGCGAAGCGAUUCCGACAGUUUGGAGACAAAUUUUUUCUGUGAUGGAGUUACCUUUUCACUUGAAAGUCUGCUGCAUCUAUUUGUGUGUCUUCCCGCCAAGUAUUGAGAUAUCCACGAGGCAAUUAUAUCAGUUGUGGGUAGCUGAAGGUUUCAUACCAUACAACGGUGAAGAAACUGCCGAACAUUACUUGAAAGAACUAAUCCAUCGCGGCUUCAUUCAAGUGAGUAAGAGAAGCGCCGGCGGCACAAUUAAAGCGUGUUAUGUUCCAAGUUUUGUAUAUACUUCAUUGGCUGUGGUGGCAGAGAAGACGGGAUUUGUAUGGAUGCCUGAAAUGGAAGAGGAAUCACUGGCAAAUGUUAAACGGUGCUUCAUUUUUGAAGAUCUGAUUGAGUUCGUUUCUGUAGAACAUUCUGAUAUGGAUCUCCAAUCUUUUCUGAAUCACAGUUCAGAAAGCGAUCAUCUUGCUCUGAUAGAUUGCGAGAUUUUUUUUAAAAGGUUCAAACACCUUCGGGUAUUGAACAUGGGUUCUGCAGUUCUCGACCAAUAUCCACUGGGAUUAGAAAAUUUAUUCUAUUUGAAGUAUUUGAAAUUGAAUAUUCCUUCGCUCAAAUGUCUUCCUUCACUGCUAUGCACCCUUUUAAACCUUCAAACACUAGAAAUGCCAUCAAGCUACAUAGAUCAGUCACCAGAGGAUAUUUGGAUGAUGCAAAAACUCAUGCAUCUAAACUUUGGUUCCAUCACUCUGCCUGCACCUCCAAAAAAUUAUUCCAGCUCUCUGAAAAAUCUCAUUUUCAUAUCAGCCUUACACCCAAGUAGUUGUACUCCAGAUAUAUUGGGCAGACUCCCUAAUGUUCGAACUUUUAGAAUAUCUGGAGAUUUGAGUUACUAUCAUUCUGGG